CACCUCGGCCUCCCAAAGUGCUGGGAUUACAGGCGUGAGCCACCGCGCCCGGCUGGUUCUUUAAUCUUUAAAAACCCACAAGGCAGUUCCCGUGUUCUAGGUGACGACACCAUUGCUAAACUUUAGCCACAGGUAUGUUCCUGAAGUGCCCGUGACACUAAGCAUCUCAAGAUGUGGCCCCUGGACCGGCUGGUCAGCGUCGUCCCCACCCCACCCCUGCUGAGCCGAAACUCCAAGGCAGGGCCCAGGGGGCCCCCUUUCCCCAAGCCUCCAGGUGCUCUGGUACUCAAAUUUGAGAAUCACUGCUGGAAGACCCGGGAGUCUCGCAAACAUUUCUUUUUAUUUCUUAAAUAAAAACCCCCGUUAUUAACUGAAGCGGCAGCUCUCUGGCAGCUUCCUGCAAGCAGCUGGUUGAUCCUCUGAGGCUGCACUGUCAGUUGCAGCUCAGUUUCACCCGGUGUGGCUGGACUGUCUGCUUCUGAGCCCCAGACCCUGUCGCUCCCUGCUGCUCCCCUGUGAAUGCCCUCGUGCUCCCAGAGAGAAACUGAGGCAGCAACAGCAGGUAGCUGUGCGCAGACCCCGCUGGGCCCCAG
rnacentral:lncRNA from 10 species